rnacentral:rRNA from 1 species
CUGUCUGAAUAUGGGGGGACCAUCCUCCAAGGCUAAAUACUCCUGACUGACCGAUAGUGAACCAGUACCGUGAGGGAAAGGCGAAAAGAACCCCGGCGAGGGGAGUGAAAAAGAACCUGAAACCGUGUACGUACAAGCAGUGGGAGCACAGGUUUACCUGUGUGACUGCGUACCUUUUGUAUAAUGGGUCAGCGACUUAUAUUCUGUAGCAAGGUUAACCGUAUAGGGGAGCCGUAGGGAAACCGAGUCUUAAUUGGGCGUUAAGUUGCAGGGUAUAGACCCGAAACCCGGUGAUCUAGCCAUGGGCAGGUUGAAGGUUGGGUAACACUAACUGGAGGACCGAACCGACUAAUGUUGAAAAAUUAGCGGAUGACCUGUGGCUGG